GCGAGAAUACCUCUCAGAUAUUAUUGUACGCGCGAGCCGCCGCUGCCCGAACCCGUUGUGCUCUGCUCUGCUCUUUCGCUCUCUUUCUCUCUCCCCCCUUCUCUCUCUGUCUCUCUCUUCCCUCGCCUCUCUGUCUCGCGUUGAUUCCUUUAUUCCAUCACCGCGAAUUUCCUGCGUCUUCCCACUCGCCCAUCCUCGGCCUCUCCUUAGCCCCAUUUCUCUCCGUCCGCGCCUCUUCCGUACUUAUCACUAUCGAAGUCUCUUGUAACUCCUCGUGCAGUUCUCUCGUCGCUCUCUCUUUCUCGUGCUCCUCCGUCGCUCUCUUUUUCUCUCUUUCGCUCCCUUCUCUCCUAGCAAAGGACCGUUCAUCCACGUCUCUAGUUUCUUUCUUUUCCGCUCAUUUUCUCCUCGCCCUUUGCUCUCUCUCUCUCUCUCUCUCUCUCUCUCUCUCGCAUGCUCCCCUCUAUUCCUUCCCGACAUCUCUUUAUUUUUUCCUGAUCACCCCAUUGUCUCUCAUCCGCUUUUCUCCCUCUUCUCCUUUAUCAUCUUCUAUCUCUCAUGUAUCUCGUAUCUCGCUCGUGCAUCUUCGUGUUUUUCCGCAACCGCUUGUCACGCGGCGCGGCCCGACCGACGAUCACGCGUGGGCCCACACGGAUCGAUCGAUAGAUCGACCGGCUGGCCGGCCUCCAUGUGUCCGGAACGGUCCGAACUCACGUUCCCAUAUACGGGAAAUUUCGUGCACGAGCACGACCUUUCUUCCGCAGUUCGCGCGAGUUCUCCCCUUCGCGCCAUAUUUGUUUUCCUUUUUUUUUUCCUCUCGUCAGGAUCUCGCUGCCCCCGUCUUUCUUCGCUGUCUCUUGUAACGCCUUUUCUUCACAAUGACGUAAAUAAUUUAAGAGCACUAUGUUCACAACAUACGAAUAUCUACAGCUGGUUCUAUGCUCCUGCGAGAAAGUUUGCAGUAGAUAGAUUUUUUUAAUUUAUUUUAAUGUCGAGAUGAAAAAUGAGUCUUGAACAAUGGGAGAAAAGUAUUUGGUAUUUGCGAUUAUAAUUGAAUGUUAAAAUUAUGGUUAGAAGCUCUCCAUUUUUAUAGUUAUUACUGCUGUAAUAUAAUAGUAAUAAAGAUGAGGAUUAUAUGCACUUUUGGUACCAACUAUUUUAGCAAUCAAUUGUAAAUAUUAAUUAUGUUAUUUAAAUUGCAAUUUGUAAUCGUUUGUUUGUCAGUGUGACACAUUGUUAUUGUUGCUAAUAUUAUAGCGUUAAUAAAAUCGAACUCCUAAUCAUAAUUAUUUUAACAUUCAAUUAUAGCUACAAUACUAAAAAUUUUUUUAGUGGAAAAAAUUCGAAAAAAACGCCGAGAAAAAUAUUUGUUGAAAAACUAAAACUAUUUAGUUCGAUACGUUCAACUAAACAUUGAUUCAACAAUUAUUUAGUUACACAAAAAAGAGGUGUACUUUAUUGACGUUAGAUCAUUAAGAUUUUUUAAUCAAGAGUUUACAAAACCAACUCAAUAUUUAGUUGAAUGUAUCGAAUUAAAUGUUUUAGUUAUUUCAAUAAUUUUUUUUUCUCAAUAUAGUUUCUCGAUUAAAAUAUCGGGAUAAAAAAUAAUUAUUUUUAAAUUUUUACACUAAGAGAAAAUUUUAAUAAACAUUUGUUUGAAUACUUAUAAUGAAAUAUUUACUAAAUGUAAAUAAAUAUUUACUUAGAGCAAGAAUCACUGAUAUAAUGUAACUAUCUUUUUUUUAUUGAAUAAAUAUUUACGUACCGUAAGUAAAUAUUUCAUUGCAACUAUUCAAGCAAAUAUUUAUUAAAAUUUAGUAAUUUUUUUCUUAGUGAAGAAAUAAAUUGCUCUUCUCGCGAUUUAAAACUGCGGUUUGUGGCUAGCAAAGAUCGUUUCUUCAUUUAACUAUAUAAAAAUAAAAAAAUAUAUUAACAUAGAAUAUAUUUUUAUUUAAUAUAUUAAAUAUUUAUUACGCGGAUGCUUUAGAUCGAAGUAAAAGAAUAACAAAUUUUUGAAUUUUAUAAAAAUAGUUUUGCACGUUGAAUUAGUGUAAUUAACUGUGUGCGGGGACGACUUUAAUUUCUGAGAAACGCAACUGAUACGCGUGAACGAAAAUAUCAGAGUUGACGAUAUCGGGGAGGCGCCUUUCUCGAGCGGAAAUUACUUCCGAGUUUAUUCUAUCGGCGUGCCAUCCGAAUUCCUAGGAGCGGACGUAAUAACGGAUGUUUCGAAGCCGUCGAUCGAGUCGCAAGACGUUAACUUCCUUUCACCGCGCGUGUAGUUCCCGACAUGUAGAACGAGACCGAAAAUCUCGCGAGCCUCCCGUGCCCGAGCGGAGCUGCGUUCUCGUUAGCGUAAUCGAAGAGCGGAAGUCACGAAACGCGGUUUGCUUUAAAUUAAUCUCCAGAGCACCGAGCUACUCUUUGCCAACGUGCGAAAUAACGAAAAAAAAAAAAAAACCUGUUGCCGAACGACCAAGCUUUUCUCGAGGUAAAUUGAACGAGCACUCCUUAAUAGUUAAUUAGUUUGGUCGAUUAUCGGCAAAGUGCCUGUGCGAGAUUGUUUAGAAAUUUUUAAAUGGAUGCUUAGUAUAUCUUUUCCUCGCUAUUUCAAGGAUUGUAUAAUCCGAUUUUUUCUAACUUACCUAUCAGCGUUUGAAUUAAUCCUAUUGCAGUUUGCCGAAAAUAAGAUUUUCGUGCUAUCAUUGUGUGAAAAAAAAGUUUCUUAGAUUUCCGUAUUACGAUUUUAGUAUUGAGAUUUUUAAGAUCGCUAAAUCCAAAUAUGAUGUUUGAAUUAGAAUAAAAUUCAAACUGGCGGAUUCAAUAUGCGGAUCGAAGUUUGGAAAAAUAAUUGGAUUCUUAUAAAAAUAACCAUCCUAAAGAAAGACAAGUUUUGAUAUGUUAUUUUGGAUUACAAAAUUCUGAUAUAUUUUUAAUUCAGUAAUUUUAACAAUUUGAAGUACUCAUUUUUAUAAAAAUCCAAUUACUUUUUCAAAUUUUGAUCCGCUAUUUUGAAUUUUGAAUUCUGAUGUUAUAUUCAGAUUCAGCGACUUCAAAGCCCGAAAAAUACAAAGUUUCAUAAAAACCACGAAAAGUAAAUCGAUUUCUUUUAGAUGUGCAUAUAUACUACAUUACACACUGGUACACAAAAAAAAAAUUAUAUCGAAUAAAAAAUCAUCGUCUCUUAUAACCAAAAGUAUAAAAUCUUCUUGAAAGGAUUUGAUUAUCUGAAACAAACAUAACUUGCGUACAAACUUUCAUGUAAGUCUUCACAUAAGAUCUUUAUGUAGGUCUUCAUGUAAGCAAGUUACGUUUGUUGAAAGUUAUAAAAUUUCUUUCGAGAUUUUAUAUUCUUCUUUAUUUAUGAAAUAGUGAUUGUUGAUUCAAUACUACUUUUUUUUUCUCUGUGGCAUAUUUUUUUCUGCGCACUACAUACACUAUAAAGGGGUUAAUAAUGACGAUAAUUUUAAAUAACUCAAUAGUUUUACAAUCACGUAACAUUUAGGGAAAGAGCGAUUUGCACGAGAUUGCGUUUGCUCUCCUUUCUUUCUCGAUGCCUGAAAGGUUAAUUGAAGAUGAAAUCUUACGUUCGCGUGAUCGCGAACUUCCAGCACUUAUUCGGCGUACUCGUUUGCGUAAAAGUAGAAAUACUGAAUCCAAAAUUGACGUCAGUGAUGUGUCUAUGCUGCCUAUUGAUUUCGCAAUUGUUUAUACAUGGCGCCUGAUAUCGAUUAUUCGGCACGUACCUGUGCUAGAACUUGCCAAUGGAAUGUAAGUGGAAGAUUGCUAACUGCGAUUUCUACGCGGGUAUAACUCUUUACAGGUUACUGUAUAUGUAACCGCACAUGAAACACUUUUAUAAUUCUGACCUCAAUUUUGACUUUUUUUUUCCAAUAAAUCGAUAUCACUAUAAUUCAUCGACAAUGAAGAACAAAAUUGUUAAUUUGACCACGUUUGAAUACGUUUGGUUCGUAGUGAUUUCUUUAGUUCAAGUAUUUAUUGAAGUUAAAUAAAUGUGAGUAAUAUAGAACUAAAUUCAUUUAAUGAAGCUGACAACUUUUUCUUCACUGGAGAAAAGCUAAAAUACUUAGUCUGAUUAUACGUUCAAGUAAACAAUGAAACUGAAUUGAUUCAAUAAUUAUUUAGUUGCACGAAAAAGACAUGUUUUAUUUAUGUUAUUCAGUAACAUUUUUAAAUCAAAACUUAACUAAACCAACUCAGCAUUUAGUUGAACACAUCAUCGACUUUAGUUUUUCAAAAAAGUUUUUUCCUGUGCAGUUAAUUAAGCAGACAGAUUUUUUCAAUACCUUUUGCAUCCUUUGCAUGCCAAGAAGAUAGUUGCAAGAACUGAAUAAAAACAAAUAGCAAACUUUCAUUAUUGGAAAGACGCGAUUGCUAUAAAUCUAUCCGGUAAAAUUGUUAUCCUGUCGUUUCUAUUUUCGUAAAUUCUUGAAGAUAUCUCCAGGUCUGUGUGUAAGUCCUCAGAAGUUCGGUCAGGAAAAGUCCAUUCCUCGGAGGAGUCCUGGAGAGAGAGAUAGGAGCGCAUUGGGUGGAUAUAUCUUUCGAUAUUUAAUUCAGCAUACGAGCACGACCACGCCAGGGGUUUCAUCAACUAUAGACGAGGCCGGGCACGAAGUUUUCGCUCGGUGCAGUCUGCACUUCGGAUGCACACUCGCCGGCUGCUCACCGUUACGUUCGUUCGCGAGACGGCACAUUGCGGUAGGAACGAACGAACGAACGAACAAACGAGCGAGCGAGUGAGCGAGCGAGCUGGCGGGCGAGCGACGUGUGUUAGGGGAGACUGGCAUAAUUGAUCCGGCGGAACACACGACCGCCAGACACAAUACUCACUUUUCGAGCCAUGCGAAAAUAUUUCGCGUAAAUGAACUAGGCAGCGGCCGCUCGCCGAGUCGAGCUCUCGUGAAUGCUUAUCAGGGCAUUCAUAAUUCGCGAAAGACUUUUAAACUCGGAUAUGUGCAGUCUAUAUACAUAUAUUUCCCCAGAGUCGAAUAUUUUUUUUUUUUUUUUCUUACAAAAUGGAAAUGGGUUUUGAAAUUCUUGGUGUACUAAUGGAUAUUACAACGAUUUUUUAUUUGUUAAAACAGGGAGAAAAAAUUACAUAUUUUUAUUGGUAAUAAUGGUAAAAGAUUACAUUUUUUUACGUAUGAGAAAUUGUAAUUUAUGUAAAGGAUGGAGCUUUCAAAUUAUCUGUCGUGAAUUUUCUUAUGUUUUUAUGUGCAAGACUGCAGUCUACAUACAUAUAUUUCCCCAGAGUAGAACAUAAAUUUUUCUUACAAAAUGAAAAUGCAUUUUGAAAUUCUUGAUGUACAAAUGGAUAAUGUAACAAUUUUUUUUAUUAGACAAGACGAAGAAAUAUAUAUUUUUUUUAUUAAUAAUAAUAGUGAAAAAAAUUAUAUUUUUACUUAUAAAAAAAUUUCUAAUUUAUACGAAUUGUAAAGGAUGGAACUUUCAAAUUGUCUUUCAUAUAUUCACGAAUUCCCUGAUGUUUAUUUUACAGCUUUUAUUAUAAUUCGAUAUUUACGUGGUCGAGAUACAAGGGACUGGCUUUUGCAGAGCACAACAAAUCUUCAUAAAGUACGAAAUUUGAUUUAUCAUUCUCUCUAUAUUUAUGUUGUUUGGAAGAGGUCUACAGUCGCGCGGUGAGAGGUGACCUCUAUAGAUUUAUUAAUUGGAAUUUAAUCUCGCAGAUGUUGGCAUAAUUCACCGUUCAGCACAAAAUUUUAUUAAUUAUUCCAUGUAUUCGUAGCGUGUGGGUGGCAGACGUGAAGCCUGCACUUCGUUCGUUGAAUGCUUACCGGGGCAUUCAUAAUUCGCAGAGGUUCUUAAAGACCGCGCGGGAAUUGCUUUAUUGUUAACCACUUUAUGUUGCGGCAUGCAUGAGAAGAAAUAUCAUUGCGCUUUCGAGCGUUAAUUCUUUUUGCGCAGUGUUUCUCAACCGUUGCGACGUGAAUGAUUCCUGACCCGCGCCGCGAGAAAGAUUUUGAUAACUGUAAAUUCUGACAUUUUUUUAAAUAACUUUAGAAAGAAAUACGCACGAGAAUACGAAAUAUUUUCCUGUUUGGCGAGAGUUUGUGCCGACGCAUGUUAUUCAGCAUUAUUUUACCUCUCCAGUAGCAUUUAUUACGAAGGGUUAACCGGGAGCGGAACAUUCCGUCGAGGAUUACACGCGUUAUCUUAAAUUAUCGUUAUUCUCACGUUGCUCGGAGCUAUCGUAUAAAUAAUCUCAAAGCUGUCAUCGUCACUAAACAUUACAGCUUUCUGAAACGGGAAGGAGCAUUUAUAUCCGCAAGCGAGAGAUUCGCGGAUAUAUACGGGAGAUUCGCUGAUCCCUCCCGAGUCUCCCUCGACGAGACUGAAACUUUUUCAAUCCGUAAUCCGGCAAACGCGCAGAGCUUAUCGCGUUGCAAAAUUUUGUACUCGAGUUUUCGCCGUGUCACGUAUGUGAACGAGUCAUAGCGUUUUCGUGGCGCGCACCUGGCUCGCCAGAAAUAUGAUCGCGUGAAUCAGACCACCUCCCCUCGGACACCUCGGACACUUCAGUCAUUCACGUAUAUGUUGCAAAUGCGGUGCGAUCGAUAUUAGCAAUGGGUGCUUCGUUGGACAGCCUCCCACACAAUAUAUAUAGCGCGGCUCUCGAGAGGCUCGCUUUUCGCAAAUGCAAGCAAAUUUGCGUGGCACUUGUUUCGCGCCGCGGUGCUCUUGGAUAUUAUUAAUCGCCCGACAGAUGCUGAUUUUCGGAUGCGAAACUCGCCAAGACGCCGGCUAUCUAUCCUUGAAUUUCGCCCGAAUAACUUGGAGAAGUUUGGAAGAGUGUCGUGUUCCGUAACGAAUUUACAGUCAAUUUUUCUUCGUGAAAAUAGGAAGUCUACAUGUAUUAUCGUGUAACUUUUUAACUUUAAUCAUUUUUUAGCGUUAGCUACUUCAAGUUUCUCACCGGAAAAAUUUAAUGAUCUUGUUAAAGUAGAUCUGAAGUUUACCUAAAUUUAAGAUCGAAAUUUUUUUAUCCAUUUAUUCGAACACGUAUGAUAGGAUUAAAAACUAAUAUUGUAAUUAAUGUUUAAUAUUUAAUAAAAAAUAGAUUUGUUUAUCUUACGUAUAUAAUUGAAGGGUUUUCUGCAAAAACUAAGUCCAUUAUUUUAAAUCUGAGUCUUGGCGCCAAAUCAUUCUUUAUCACAUCAUGAAUUUUAUUCUGAAUAUAAGAAUCAAACAAAAAACGAGAAAUAUAAAUAAACAGUAUGUAAAUAUAAAAUUUUUGACUAAACGAGUCUUGAGAGAUUUCUCAAAAUAUUCUUCUAAAUCCUGAAUAUUUGUUAUACAAAAGUAUGUUUGUUAAGAACAACUUGAAAAAUUUUAUAAAAAAAAGCAAAAUAGUUAUUACUGUAUAUUUUAAAUAAUCCUUUCUUCUUUAUCGUUUAUCAUAAUUAAUGUUAUAAAAAAAGAUAAAUGUAAAAUAUAUUAUAGGAUAAAUAGAUAUUAAAUAUAAAAUUCUCGCAAGACUUAAACUAGUUUAGAUGUUUUGUAUUUUAUUUUUUUAAUUUUUUAAAUAUACUUUUUCUCAAAAUAUUAAUUAAAUCUACAACUUUGCUCUUACAUCUAUUGUAUGCCUGGAAAAAAUUACCACAUUUAUACAAUGAACGGUUUAAAGAUGAGAAUUUUUUUGUUUCCUAAAAAUUCAAUUUUUUGAACUUGUUUGGCUUUUGCAGAAAACCCGUCAGUUCUAUCGGAUGGCUUUAAUUUUAGAAAAUGAGGAGAUACGUCGAUCGUAUUAUUUCAUCGAUGAUGCUACUUACAAUUCGUAUUGCUCAUCACACGGUCGUGCUUGGGGACUUCGAUUAUUUCAUUCUGCAUACAUCGCGCACUUUGCACAAUAUUAGUCCGCCAACGCGGAAUAUUUCUAAGGCACCGUCCUUGGGAUUCAAAUCAUCAGACGGGCUUUGUUACUACGUAUUUGUUCGCUAGAGUAGCAUUCCAUUGACAUUUGGAUGUUUAAACGAAUCUGUAGGCGAAAUUGCGUUUCGAAUAAUGUAGCGAAAGUAGGCUAUGAAUUCUAAUAUUCUCUAUAAUAGUCUGAAAUUUAUUCAUUCAUUCAUUCAUUUAUUCAUUCAUUUUGGUCUUUAUCGUGUUAUGUAAAUUAGGACAAUUUAUAGUAAUUCUUGUGAUGUUUUUCAAUUCCUUUUGUCACGUCAGAAAAUUUCUUUCUCUUGUAGUUUAUGAAAGUUUAAAAAGAAAUCGGUACAAUUGCAGAGUUAAAGGGCGCCUUAGAAUCACAUUCGCGUGUCUUUUUAGCCGCGUACACGUUUGUGAAAUUUAAGAUGCGAGUAUUCUGGUAUUGCCGCGAUCGCGUGUAGUCAGGAAAUUCCGCGAUGGGAACCAAUCGACUUCCGGCCGACCGUGUGUGCAGAUCGAAAUUGAAUUACGAGCGUCGCAGCAGCGCGAGCUUUCGUGGUCGAGUGCUCUGGAAUUAAAGAGAAUGGCGUGUUCCGCGAUGUUUGUUCCGUAUAAAUUUAUGCCUACACUGGGAACACCAAGUCAGCCAAUAUUUAUGUAAUGAUAGUCUUUAUCUUCUUUUCUCUACUACACUUCGUCAUAACUCGACACUGUGUAUUCUCCUGAGCUAAAACAUAAAAGUUCGCAAACUUUAAUCCAUCUAACUUUGAUUGAAUGUUAAAUAAUUUAUCUUGAAUAAUUAUUAAGAAAAAAAAAUUAUCAAAAUUAUGUGCUUCUAAGUAUCUUUAUAGAAGCGAGGUCUAUAAUAUAAAGUUUAGUGAGGUAGUUAAUAAAUAGAGUAAACUGAUAGCUUGUUUAUACACUCGAUUUUUUCCUGAACAAAAGUAUCGAGAGAGGUCAUUGUCCUUCACCAUUUGCAACCUUAUACCUGUGUACAUGCUUUAUUAAUUGAAAUGCCAUUUAAUUAUGGGAUUAAUUAGAGAUACUUUCGUUAUUUAUUUAUCGACAUUAUUCCCUUACUUUGGUUUGCAUCUAAUUUAUAUUUAUAUAUAACUUAGAUUACACGCGAGAAUGUGUGUGAUUUUGGCGCUUGGUACUUCAGCACAUAUCGAUACGCUUCGAUACUUUUCGAGUUCUCAGGCUCUGAAUGCAGCUCUGCUCUUUUAUCUAGACAAUCGGCACGGUUUUUAUUAACGCGUUCUCUCUGCCGUUGAAUGAGUCAGACUGGUCGCCAAGAAAGGCGAGGGUUUGCCAACAGUCGGUUACACGCACACGCGUGCACUGCCCGUGCAUGGUUUGCGGUUAAUGCGUGCUAAAGGUUUUUGCCCAGCCGCAUUCGAGACGUCAAAUCGGUCAUUGCGUAAUUAUCAAUAAUUGCAGCGUGGAACACUUCGCGCUACCGGAAGCGCAUCGAUCAUCCGCUUAUCGUGAAACCGCUUAUCUGCGCUCACCCUGAGCGCACGUCUGCGCCACCCGCCUUGUUUCCUACGCAGUGUAUAUCUAUCACAUGUAGGUCCUCUUCGUUUUCAUAUCUUACAAUCACAGUUUAAUCAUGAUUGUACGCACUGAAGAGAAAAUUUACCGAAAAAUUAAAAUAUUUAAUCCGAUACAUUUAAUUAAUUAUUAAAUUAGUUUAAUUAAAUCUUGAUUAAAAAAUUUUAAACAAUCGGUAAGUUAAAUCCGGACUGACGAAAAUGUUAAACGGGUUAGCAGGCCUACGUCAGUCGCAAGAAUGUUUCUUAGUGCUGAAUAAUAAUUUUUACAAUCUCCAGCUUAUUCGAAUUGCGUGCCGCAUAUUCACCGGACUUGAAACGCAAGCAUGAAGCCGGAGUCUAAUAUUAAUGCUUCCGAAGCAUCUAUAAGAUCCUCCCUCUCUCUAGAAAAAUUGUAAAGAAUUUUAUUCGUACUACUGUAAACCAUUUUAAUGAUUGAAUGAAAUAUAUCUUUGUUUUUGUGCAACUGAAUAAUUGUUGAAUUGAUCCCAAUAUUUAGUUGAACACGUCGAACUAAAUAUUUCAGUUUUACAAUACUUUUUUUUCUGAUAAAAUUGAGUCUCGUGCGAAUGUGCGAAUGUAACUCCUUCAUGGAUCGUUUCGGACAUCUUCAUAUUUAGCUCGUUUCCUAAAGAAGUUAUUCGAGGUUGCGGGGAAUUUCCGGCACUUUGACAGAUGUACUCGCCAAGUUUUUCGAUUCGACCUUCUCCAAUUGACGGCCAAUUUAUUACGUCACCGCGCUGAAUGGGCGCCAUUGAGUCCUGCGGUAACGAACGUUUUGGUUCGUUAGCGAACUUACCGGCGGGCCGAUUAAUUCGCCGAGAAUUUCUGACACAAUUUCCGUAACGCCGCGCGAGUUUUUCACGGACGGCAUCGCAAGGCGCUCUCACGCAUAACGCGCACAGAUCGUCCUCGAUGUACAACGCAGGCCGCCGCGAAUUCCGCGAGAAAUGUUCUGAAACGGGGAAUGAGAGAGACGCAUAUUCGCGUGUAACAGUUUUUACGCAGCAUGAUCAGCGAAACGCGUCGUUGGAGUGCAAUUGCAUCAUUACUUUGUUACGAGAACUAAAUGGGGAACUUUGUUACGAGAACUAAACAUAGCAGGAGAGGGAUAUUAUAUCAUAUGAAAUCACAUUUAAUCUCUUUUACCCUUAAAUUAAGCGAAAGCAAUGGCUUUUGAAAUUUGUUUUAAAGUUUUUUUUUUGUAUCUACGAAUUAGCUUGGAGUAUCCUUGAAAUAUACGUAAAAAGUACUUGGAUAUCACGAAUAUAUUUUUGUAAGCUCUUACACUGUAAAAAAAUUUGUCAAAAAAUAUUUAGAUUUGAUCGGUUCGAUUAAAUAUGAAUUGAUUUAGUCAAUUUUGGAUUCAAAAAAUUUUUAUAGUGAUAUGAAUGAACUAUAUCUUUUUUGUACAAUUAAAUAAUUGCUGAAUCAAUCCAAUGUUUAGUUCCAAUGUUUAUCGGACUAAAUAUUUUACUUUUUCAAUAAAAAAAUUUUUUUAAAUAGAUUUGCAUGUUUACUGAAAAAAAUUUGGUAAUAAUUAUUAAUAAUUGAGCUUUGAUGAAAUAAUUUCAAAUAAAUGUUCGAUUAAUAUAAUCAAAUGUUUAGUAAUAUUUAUUAAUUAUAUUAAUAGUAAACAAACAUAAUAAUCAGUUACUAAACGGUUAUUAUUAAAUAUUAACUGAAUAUUUAAGUGAAACUAUCUCACUAAAGCUUGAUAUUUACUAUCUAAGCUCGAUUAUUACUAUCAAACCUCAGUCUUUGAAUAUCAGAGGGGAACGAGCUGUAAAAUUAUUACUUUAUUUCUUUUUCAACACACCUGCCAUCAUGUAAAAUUUUAACGCUAUAUUUCUGCAAGACAUUGCAGGACGAUCUCAAUUCAGUUCUCAAGCUCUGACGGUGUACGUAGCACUUGAGAGUAAUCGAUGCGACGAUGAAAGCUAAACUCGCAUUGUCCGUAUUAUUCGGAAAUGCACAAAGGCCUCUUCCGCUCAUCUCGCAUUCAAAAUGUCAAGCGGCCGAGUUGCGCCUAGCCGCGUAACGCGCGACGUUUACUAUUGUCCAUAUUUUAAAGUGUCUGGCCUUCGCGACCUGGAAAAAAAAAUGACAUUGCACGUGCAUUCUGCUAACGAUCGGGAAAACACGCGCAUUGGCUGCGUCUCUUUUUGUGCGCAUUAAGAGAAACAGCGGCUGCCAUUUGUCGCGUGAUUCAGCGUGUACUCAUUGCAAACGGACAAACGAGACUUCGAUUCAGGCUCGAUGCGUCAGUGGAUCUCUGAUAGUUUAGAAGUGCACAUGUUCGUUCUCGCCGGGCUGCUCGAGUAACCGGCGUCAGGCGUUCUAAUGCGCUCGUCCCGUCGCAAUUUCUUUCAUCUCGCGCAUUAACGGGCAUUCACGGACGCAACUUGCGUCUAUUUUUGUCCGCGCUCUAUUUCGGCCGCGGUAUCUGGAGCUUGGUGAGCGACAGUGGACAGAUAUUCAAGUAGAUGCACUUAAGAUGCCCGCAUCGAAGACCGAGUGUAAUGCGCCACGCGCAACAGGACGCGCAUGUUUGAUUAGCAAGUGGGGCACGUUCGUCAAUUACGUGCUCCGCAACGACGGCGUUAUUAAUUGCAUCGCGCCAAACGAUGAUAAUAAGUGCGCGGCGAUCGCACGUCAAGUAUAACGUGACGAAGUGAUUGUGUAGAAAGUGGGAGGGCAAGUGAAUAAAAUAGAGAAAAAUAGAAAUGUAUUGUGCAAUUCUCUCUCUCUCUUAUUUUAUAUAUACAAAAUAGAUAAAUUAGACAUUUAAAAUAUUAAUAUUAUCUAUACUAUAGUCUUUUAUUGUGUGUAUUUUUUCUUUUAAAAUUAUAAAUAAUUUUAACAUUUUAUUUAUGUUUAUAUUUAUAAAUUUGCAGACACGUGUCUAAAAAAUGACCUAAAAACAGUUAUAUUCUCCUAAUAUUUUUUCGAUUUUGGAAAUUAAUUUUCGAAAUCUUAACUUGAUGACGCAUAAAUAGGUAUAACUCAUUGACACGAGUUUUACACCUGGACUCGGUGUGAUAAUGCGGUGCAACAAGUGGCUGACACGCAUUCUGCGUGUAGUCCCGUUGUGCGUUACAGAAAACGCCCGCACAAAUAAUAUCGAAGAUAUCCUCGACAGACGCGGAGAUAUCGGAGUAAAAGGAUCGAUGACUAAUUUUGUCGGCAUAUCCCGGUCACCAUGAUUAAUCUUGUAUCUAGAUCUCUACGUUUGGCAAGUUCGUAAUUAUUUAAAAGGAGCGUGUAUUUCGUCUUUUAAUUAAAUACUCGAUUAAAUAUGUACGUAUUAAAGCACAUUAUCUUCAUUAAAUCUAAAAUAUUUUUUAAACUUGCAAAGUAAUUAAUUAAGAACUUUUCAAUUUCAAUAAUUAAUUUUCAGAAUUUUUAUUUCAAUAACUAUUUGUGUGUUUGCACUUCAUAUAAUUACAAUGAAUUCGAUGAAAUUAAAUUUGCGUGGAAAAUAUGUUAUCUUACUAUAAGUAUGUUUAUUUAAAGAUUAUAUUUUUUUCUUUAUAUUAAACGUAAAAUGUUUUUAUAUUAGUGAUAUAUUUUACUGGCUGCUGCUGUGUUAUCGAACUAUUAUCCAAUAUUAAAUUGUCUAUUAAAUUGAAAUUGUCAUACUGGAAAUUUAUCACAUUAAAUUGCUUACAAUGAUGCAAGUUUAGCUUGAAAAAUACAUCGGAUUAUAAAAUCUUUUAUUAUAUCAAAGUUUCUUUACAAUAAGUUUUAUUAACUGUUUAUAAUAAAAUAUUAUAUUUCAACGUUCUCAUAUUUUUAAAUUGCUAAUACAAUAAAAUUAAUUAAACAUUACGAGAACAUUUUAGUAAAAGUUUAAUUUUCCAUUUAUUUUUUAUUCACUUCCAUUUAUAUAUAAUACAUAUUUUUUUUCCAUUUAAUUAAUAACUUAUAUUUCACAAAAAUAUUUUCACGUUUUCAUAAAAUUGGAUACAACUCGAUGCCUUUCCACGGCAAUGGAAAAUCCAGAUACGCAGGAAUGCGUGCGUCACGCUUAAAAGUACAAGAUCCUUCCCGUGUCUCCCGUAUAGUCGGUGACAAAAAAAGGUGCAGAGACAUGUAUAGUCCUUGUCCGAAAGCGCGCCGCGAGUCGUCGAGAGCCGCACGCAUGUGGGCGCCGCAGCCUUAUAAGGACGUUCAUAAGGAGCCUCUCUCACUAAACCUCACCUUGCCUUAUCUUAUCUUACGUCAUUUGCCGUCCCCGUCCGUCGAGUGCUCCAGUGUCUUGCAUCCCCACGAAAUCCAUUCGCUCGCGCGCACUCCUGCGUGUAGCCCAAAUUCCACUUUCCCUUCUUGCCACAGCAUUGCUACAAUCGUCUUCGCGCAUUAAUAAAAUCCGCGUUUAUCGCUUUGAUCGAAUAAAAAAAGAUAUGUUUGAGACUAAAGUGAAGUUUCAUACAACGAUAUGCAAUCUUUUGUGUUUUCUAAAUAUUUUCGAAGGCUAUUCAUCACAAGUGUACAUGUAAUGAGUAGGAUUGCAUUUCUUGUUUUUGUUUUCUUAUUUUUCUUGAAUUUUUGGCUUAUCUAUUGUAUUUUGUAGUGUCAUAAUGUUUAUAAUAUAUUUGUGCAUAAAUUUACUUUUACGUGAGAAUUUUAUCUAAGGUCUAUUAUACGAUAUUGUAUCUCACUCGUACUGUCGAAUUUAUAGAUUCGUAUUUUAAUAAUUUGAAACUUUAGUAGGAUUUAGUAUAAGAUACGAUUUCGUUUCGCCUUUCCAUUCGCUUAAGUCAAUCUUAUGCGCCCACACUUAGGUAUAUCGAUCUCUUUAUGUUCUCUUGUUAAUCUACCAACGUAGAUUAACUUUAAUCUCGAUUUAUAACUUUUUAUUUUUUUUUAAUUAUUAAGACUAAAAAAAAUGAAAAAUAAGUUAAGACUCUUUUGUUUUUUUUCUGAUUCUUAAAACUAAAAAGAGGUGAAGAGUUAAAUUUAAAAUCGAGAUUGAAGUUAAUUGAUGUCGAUAGAAGUGGACAUUAGUGCCCGAAGAGGGAAGAUUAUUAGCGAGGAAAAUGUUUGCGUUUCGCGUUACGUAUUCUCAAGUCGUCCCACGGUAUACCGUGUUUCGCGAAAUAAAACUGGAGCGACCGCGAGCUGCGAUAGAAAGUAAAUCGGAGGCGCCGCACAAUGGUGUAUCACCGACCAUCUUUUUCCGCCAUUCUCAUCGCCGACCGGAGAGCAACCGGGAGGAGGAAGCGGAACGUCAAUCUGUCGUCGUUGUCGUUCACGGAUGAUUAAAACAGUAUAAAACGCGCACGCUCGCGUGACAUCACUGCCGGUAAAUAGCAAAAGGCAGGCGUGUGUAUCGAUCCUCUCUCGUUUAUAUCGCGCGCAUCGAUUUUCAGCGAACUGCAAUUUUACCGAACGGGAAAUUCUCCGUAACGGAUAACCGUCGACCGGCAUCGCUUCACCUCGCCUCGGAUCUCGUUCGAUUUUUCCCUCGGACUUUAGUCGAACGUGAAUUGCGAUUUUACUGACUUUUUAUCACAGUGAUUCUAUUAAGAGGAAACUUUAUUACGACUUUGUUGAACUGGGAGGCAAAGUUUAAUGCGAGAUUAAACGUGGCAUUCGCGUGCUAAGCGUUUUCCUUAUCUCAUCCCGCGGGAUACAAUGUCUCUAUGCCAUGAAUAGAGUCACCCCGUGCGACGGAUGGAACACUCAAAGAAAAUUGCUAGAGACAUUAUAGGGUUAGAAUAUGCCAAAGAUCAUUUGUCAUAGAUCACCGCAAGUAACGUGAGAAGGACGACAGUAUUGGCGUUUCGCCAAGGUAUGCUCGUUCCGAUAGCCUGUCUUUAUCAAUUUUACGAGGAACGUGGGACAUCGUUCGACAUAGACGGCAGUACCUCUAUAGAAUACGAAAAUUAUUUUAAACGCAAUAUAUAUUACAAGUCUCGAGAAGUAUUGCUGAAAGACGCGAUAAUUACUUCACAGUUAUACGAGGCAACGUUCAUCGCGUAGAUAAACUUCUAAUUACCAUAUACGGGCGCUAUCUGCGAUUUGCUAUCUCUGUACAAAUAACACUGUUACUUUACGGUUAUUUCGUACAUAAUAUAAAUAAUAAUAAGUUGAAUAUUAAACCGAUAUACGGAUAACGUAAGAAUUAAGAGGAAGUACUAUUUCACCGUCGAAGCGGACCUUGGUGCUUUAAUAUUUUAAUAUUAAUUAGGUAUUAAAUAAAUUUUUUAAUUCUAUAGAAUUUGAUCGUCAAAUUUUUGUAACAAUGCAAAGGUUCUCGAAAAACUAAAAAAUUUAUUAUGAAAGAAACUCUGGUCGUGAUGAUAUUUUUCGCAUUAAGUUUUUUACAGUUUUUUUAAGAUGUUUAUACAUUGAAAAAAAAAGUUAUUAACUUGACUAAACUUUUUAAUUUAAUUAAAUUUCUUUAAUUCAAGUAUUUAUGUCUUCAAGUUAAAUAUGUGAAUGCUUAAAUUACAGUUCAAAUAUUUUAUGUAUUUGAAUUAAAUUCAUAAAUACUUGAACUGAAAAAAUUGAAUCAAGCCGAAAAAUUCACUUAAUUUAACAACUUUUUUCUCAGUGUAGUGUUGUUAUAAAAAUUUGACGAUCAAGUUAAUUUAUAGAGAUGUUAUUUUUAGCUUCAGUUUACGGUUGCAUUUCCGACAAAUCAUACCGACACACAGUCUAUAAAAAAAUAUAUUUAAUAAACAAUAAUCUAUUAUAUCGGACUGACGAAAUUAAAAAUACGAGACUAGAAGGCCUGUAUCAGUCAUAAUGGUUCUUGGUGCCGAAUAAUAAUUUUUUAAUUUUUAAUUUUUACAAUUUUCAACUCAAAUUGCGCGCAGCAUAUUCGUCGGACUUGAAACAUAGUCAUAAAGCCGGAAUAGUAAUAUUAAUAUAAAUUGUAAAAAUGAAAAAUUAAAAUAUUAUUUGGCACCAAGAAUCCCUAUGAGAUUGACACAGGCCUUAAAGUCUCGUGUUUUUAUAUUUUUAAUAAAUUGACAUGAGGAUAUUAUUAAGCUUCAGGAUCCGUUUCGAGAAAUGGUCUCUUAAUUCUUGUAGGUAUAAUACAGGUAAUUUUAGCGAUACCAGCUGCAUUUAUAAUGAACUCUAGGUACUGGAUUUUAUAGAUUUCAAAUUAGCAUUCAAUUGCAAAACAGAUCUAAUUGGCGUUAAUCUAACAUAUAGUAACAGCUCUCACGUGUUGUCUUCACGUGCAAAGUUACGCGCGAGUAUUUUUAAAACCAGCACACGAAGGAGGAUGAUAUAAUACUCUUACGCUUUUGUGGCUGUCACAUAUAGUGUGACGCGCAAAGGCGUCGGCAUGUAUUCAACGAGAAUAAUCAAGUCUAUUAUUUGAUGUUAAUUGUGUGUUAAACGCAAUAUCGCGAGAUUUUUCUUCAUCA